AACGAACGCUGGCGGCAUGCCUAACACAUGCAAGUCGAACGAGACCUUCGGGUCUAGUGGCGCACGGGUGCGUAACGCGUGGGAACCUGCCCUUAGGUUCGGAAUAACUCCCCGAAAGGGGUGCUAAUACCGGAUAAUGUCUUCGGACCAACGAUUUAUCGCCUUUGGAUGGGCCCGCGUUGGCUUAGCUAGUUGGUAGGGUAAAAGCCUACCAAGGCGACGAUCCAUAGCUGGUCUGAGAGGAUGAUCAGCCACACUGGGACUGAGACACGGCCCAGACUCCUACGGGAGGCAGCAGUGGGGAAUAUUGGACAAUGGGCGAAAGCCUGAUCCAGCAAUGCCGCGUGAGUGAUGAAGGCCUUAGGGUUGUAAAGCUCUUUUACCCGGGAUGAUAAUGACAGUACCGGGAGAAUAAGCUCCGGCUAACUCCGUG
rnacentral:rRNA from 1 species